rnacentral:rRNA from 1 species
GGCUAACUACGUGCCAGCAGCCGCGGUAAUACGUAGGUGGCAACGUUGUCCGGAUUUACUGGGUGUAAAGGGAGCGCAGGCGGGAAAGCAAGUCAGCUGUGAAACUAUGGGCUUAACCCAUAGACUGCAGUUGAAACUGUUUUUCUUGAGUGGAGUAGAGGUAGCGGAAUUCCGAGUGUAGCGGUGAAAUGCGUAGAGAUUCGGAGGAACACCAGUGGCGAAGCGGCUUACUGGGCUCUAACUGACGCUGAGGCUCGAAAGUGUGGGGAGCAAACAGGAUUAGUACCCUGGUAGUCCACACUGUAAACGAUGAUUACUAGGUGUGGGAGGUCUGACCCCUUCCUGCCGCAGUUAACGCAAUAAGUAAUCCACCUGGGGAGUACGACCGCAAGGUUGAAACUCAAGGAAUUGACGGGGGCCCGCACAAGCAGUGGAUUAUGUGGUUUAAUUCGAAGCAACGCGAGAACCUUACCAGGUCUUGACAUCCAACUAACGAACUAGAGAUAGAUUAGGUGCCCUUCUGGAAAGUUGAGACAGGUGGUGCAUGGUUGUCGUCAGCUCGUGUCGUGAGAUGUUGGGUUAAUCCCGCAACGAGCGCAACCCCUGCCAUUAGUUGCUACGCAAGAGCACUCUAAUGGGACCGUACCGACAAGGUGGAGGAAGGUGGGGACGACGUCAAAUCAUCAUGCCCCUUAUGACCUGGCUACACACGUAAUACAAUGGCCGUUAACAGAAGGAAGCGAAGGCGCGAGCCGGAGCAAACCCCAAAAACGGUCUCAGUUCGGAUUGCAGGCUGCAACUCGCCUGCAUGAAGUCGGAAUUGUAGUAAUCGCGGAUCAGCAUGCCGCGGUGAAUACGUUCCCGGGCCUUGCACACACCGCCC